GAUGAACGCUGGCGGCGUGCCUAAUACAUGCAAGUCGAGCGAACAGACGAGGAGCUUGCUCCUCUGACGUUAGCGGCGGACGGGUGAGUAAAACGUGGAUAACCUACCUAUAAGACUGGGAUAACUUCGGGAAACCGGAGCUAAUACCGGAUAAUAUAUUGAACCGCAUGGUUCAAUAGUGAAAGACGGUUUUGCUGUCACUUAUAGAUGGAACCGCGCCGCAUUAGCUAGUUGGUAAGGUAACGGCUUACCAAGGCAACGAUGCGUAGCCGACCUGAGAGGGUGAUCGGCCACACUGGAACUGAGACACGGUCCAGACUCCUACGGGAGGCAGCAGUAGGGAAUCUUCCGCAAUGGGCGAAAGCCUGACGGAGCAACGCCGCGUGAGUGAUGAAGGUCUUCGGAUCGUAAAACUCUGUUAUUAGGGAAGAACAAAUGUGUAAGUAACUAUGCACGUCUUGACGGUACCUAAUCAGAAAGCCACGGCUAACUACGUG
rnacentral:rRNA from 1 species